ACCUGCUGAACUUAAGCAUAUCAGUAAGCAGAGGAAAAGAAACUAACUAGGAUUGCCUUAGUAACGGCGAGUGAAA
rnacentral:rRNA from 1 species